rnacentral:rRNA from 1 species
UACGUAGGGUGCGGGCGUUGUCCGGAAUUAUUGGGCGUAAAGGGCUCGUAGGCGGUUUGUCACGUCGGGAGUGAAAACUCAGGGCUCAACCCUGAGCCUGCUUCCGAUACGGGCAGACUAGAGGUAUGCAGGGGAGAACGGAAUUCCUGGUGUAGCGGUGAAAUGCGCAGAUAUCAGGAGGAACACCGGUGGCGAAGGCGGUUCUCUGGGCAUUACCUGACGCUGAGGAGCGAAAGUGUGGGGGGCGAACAGG